GGAAGUAAAAGUCGUAACAAAGGUUUCCGUAGGUGAACCUGCGGAAGGAUCAUUAUUGUAUAACCGAGGUGCGAGGGCUGUCGCUGACCCGAAAGGUCGUGCACGCCCGAGUGCCCUCACACACAUCCAUCUCACCCCUAUGUGCACCACCGCGUGGGUCCCCCUUUGGCUUGUUCGGAGGGGGGCUUACGUUUUCACACAAACUUUGUAUGCAGUGUAGAAUGUAUUUUUUGUUUUUGCGAUCACGCAAUCAAUACAACUUUCAACAGCGGAUCUCUUGGCUCUC
rnacentral:misc_RNA from 1 species